GAAUUCGCCCUUAGAGUUUGAUCCUGGCUCAUGACGAACGCUGGCGGCGUGCCUAACACAUGCAAGUCUAACGGAGUUGAAAGGAGCUUGCUUUUUUCAACUCAGUGGCGGACGGGUGAGUAACGCGUGAGUAACCUGCCUUUCAGAGGGGGAUAACGUUCUGAAAAGAACGCUAAUACCGCAUAAGAUUGUAGUUUCGCAUGGAACAGCAAUCAAAGGAGCAAUCCGCUGAAAGAUGGACUCGCGUCCGAUUAGAUAGUUGGCGGGGUAACGGCCCACCAAGUCGACGAUCGGUAGCCGGACUGAGAGGUUGAUCGGCCACAUUGGGACUGAGACACGGCCCAGACUCCUACGGGAGGCAGCAGUGAGGGAUAUUGGGCAAUGGGGGAAACCCUGACCCAGCAACGCCGCGUGAGGGAUGACGGUUUUCGGAUUGUAAACCUCUGUCCUCUGUGAAGAUAGUGACGGUAGCAGAGGAGGAAGCUCCGGCUAACUACGUGCCAGCAGCCGCGGUAAUACGUAGGGAGCAAGCGUUGUCCGGAUUUACUGGGUGUAAAGGGUGCGUAGGCGGAUUGGCAAGUCAGAAGUGAAAUCCAUGGGCUUAACCCAUGAACUGCUUUUGAAACUGUUAGUCUUGAGUGAAGUAGAGGUAGGCGGAAUUCCCGGUGUAGCGGUGAAAUGCGUAGAGAUCGGGAGGAACACCAGUGGCGAAGGCGGCCUACUGGGCUUUAACUGACGCUGAGGCACGAAAGUGUGGGUAGCAAACAGAAAGUAGAUACCCUGGUAGUCCACACUGUAAA
rnacentral:rRNA from 1 species